rnacentral:rRNA from 1 species
ACAGGUGGUGCAUGGUUGUCGUCAGCUCGUGUCGUGAGAUGUUGGGUUAAGUCCCGCAACGAGCGCAACCCYUAUCCCCAGUAGCCAGCRGGUAAAGSUGGGCACUCUGAGGAGACUGCCAGGGAUAACCUGGAGGAAGGYGGGGAUGACGUCAAAUCAUCAUGCCCCUUAUGAUUUGGGCUACACACGUGCUACAAUGGCGUAAACAAAG